UACGUAGGGUGCGAGCGUUAAUCGGAAUUACUGGGCGUAAAGCGUGCGCAGGCGGUUUUGUAAGCCAGAUGUGAAAUCCCCGGGCUUAACCUGGGAAUGGCAUUUGGGACUGCAAGGCUCGAGUGCGGCAGAGGAGACUGGAAUUCCUGGUGUAGCAGUGAAAUGCGUAGAUAUCGGGAGGAAUACCGAUGGCGAAGGCAGGUCUCUGGGCUAUAACUGACGCUCAUGCACGAAAGCGUGGGGAGCAAACAGG
rnacentral:rRNA from 1 species